GCCUUCGUGGUGUAGUGGUCAGCACGCUCGACGCGCAACCGAGAGGUCCGUGGUUCGAUUCCCGGCGAAAGCG
rfam:Stegodyphus mimosarum contig93672, whole genome shotgun sequence.